AGCAAAUUGAGCAGAGUUAAAUUUCUGGUGUUGAUAAAGAUAGAGUCAAUCGAACUCUAUUUGGAAUUGAUCUAAAUCUGUAUGUUGUUAAAUCUGUUUGAUUUCACACUGCACCACAAAAGAGUUGGUGUCAAAAUGGAGUGUUAUUACUGUUAUUGUGAAACCAACUCUAUGGGUCGUCAGUCUCUCAGCUCGGGUGUAAGGAGUGACUACCCUCUGGCAUCGCGCGAACAAUAAUCUCGUGAGAGCAACAAUCUGGCGGGAUUCAAGUAAUUUACCUGCACAACUCAACUGGAACGCAACGAGCAGCACAACGUUUUCGAGGACAGUUUGUUCAAAAUUGAAGAAAACGUGUUGCAUUGUGUCGGAAAUGUUGGCUAAAGUGGAGAUUGGAGGGGUCCUAAAAUACGUGAAAAUUCCAGAGACUGAUGGAUUUUUUCAAUUUGAUAUGUUCCUUCAAGAAGUGAACGACAAGUUUAGUCUGCAGCCAGACAGCUUCAGUGAGGGCCAGUUCACCAUCACAGAUAUGUCAGGAACAGAGGUGGAUGGAGAUAUCUUUGAUGAGCUUGUCAAGUCGGGUGUCCUGACCUUCAAGGUCCCUUUACCAGUAAUGGAUCUGGAUGUUGAGCUGGUUGCAGAUCAAGCAUCCUCCUCUGUAUUGACAUCGCUGUCCCCAACUUCAUCCCAUUCAUCCUUGGUAGUGGCACAGACUGCACUAUCCCCAGCUUUAUCCCAUUCAUCUGAUUCCACCGUUAUUCUGGAGUCCACAAGAAAAAGGAGGAACCCAACAGGGUUAAUGGACCAGAAUGAAGCAAAACAGAUGGUUGAGGGUGUUCUGAGGGCCAAUCCAAAGGGUGAAGAAGUCUUCAAUGAGUAUGACAAGACUAAAACACUAACUGAUGCGACCCGUAAACAAAUGGUGAACAUCCUGGUUGCAGAUAUGGUAGAGCUACAUGGGAGGGUUCCACCGUCAAGUGUAAGGACCAAUUAUGCACUGGGAAUUGUGACUCUUUUUCCAUACCUCCGUGAUCCAUUCUCCAAACUUGGAUAUGAACACUACUAUGAUCCUGAGGGUAAUACCGGCUUCAUUUCAUGGAGGAUCAAGACGGUUCAACGCAACACCUUUGCUGGCUUGCGGGGUCGUUCCAAGACCGUUCUUCAGGAUGGUCCAAAAACCAGGCGAGAAUCUCUGUCAACCUGCCAACAGCUAUUUGGUGAGGAGUGCAGGGAGGCGAUAUCUACAAUAAGACAUUCCAGCGAUGAAUCUGUGGUCAAAGAGAAGAUGAGAGCGACUUUCCAGUAUCGACAGAAGAUGGUUGGGGAUGAUGCAUCAUCUUCAGUCCUGGAUGUGUUCCCUCGUUUUCUUGAUGUACCUGGAUUGAUCGACCAGGAUUUCUCAAUGAUGUUUGGUGACGAAGUGUCUCAGAAGUUCCUGUCCAAGUGGUCAACUUUCUUCAAGCCAAACAUCAUCACAGACUGCAAGACUGCAACGAAUAUGGAUGAGUUGCUGUCAGCAACUGAAUUUGAGUCUGAAGAGAACAAUGGAUGGGACAGUGAUAUGUCUUCAAUCCUUUUGCUGCUGCAGCUACUCCCUCCAACUUCAAGGGGCCAGAAAAAAACUGCCAAGAUCAGUUCAGCUCAAGCAACCAGCCAUCUUGUUAGAUAUCUUAAGGAAGGAGCCAGUAUUACUACCUUCCUUGAGAGUGUCGACGCAAGACAACCGUUCCUCCUUUGCAUCGGUGAGCAAAAGAAGAAUAUCCAAAGGUUCUACCUUAUUAUCGACCGAAAACCAAUCCCGUGCAAGGCACACACAUCAGUAGCAGCUUUUGAUGAACUGUUCAAAGCUCACUACGUCUUCAGUCUCUCAUAUGACGAAGCUCUUUGUAAUUUUUACACAUUCAUCCAAACCACUAUAUACAACAUCGAUGUCGGAAGAGCAAAGGAGAGCCCGCGUGUUAAAGAACUCCGAGCACGACUGCUGCAGCGAAGUGCUGUAACCGAUAAACAGCCUUGAAGAUGUUCACGUGUUUUGUCUGUAAAACACACCACAAAACGUGUGUGGUUCUUUGCCAACAUUUAAAAUUCCAACAUGGUUUAUAUCCUGGCAAAAAGUUGCGUUUAAAAUGUGGAGAGCUCCAUUGCCCAUUAUCAUUUUGUACUUAUAGUGGCUUCCGAAAGCACCUCACCAAGGUGCAUAGUCAGGU
ensembl:lncRNA